CCUUUUGCUUUUUUACUCAGAGAGAGGGGAUCUAGAUAGAGAAAGAGAUCGGGAAGUAGCUAGAAAGAGGAGAGAGAAAGAGAAACCGGCAGAGCUUCCGGUGACUACUCCGGCUCGUGCAUCAUCCAUAUCCACUAAAUCAAGAACAUUGAUCACAGUUUGAUGUUUGCUUCACCGUUUUAAACGAAGCUUCAGGCGAGACGACUAGGGUUAUCUGUCGCGAAGGGAGACGACAAAGGCGAUGGUGAGGAUGGUUUGUUCGUAUGUUCUUUUCGAUGAUUUCCCAUGAUUAUCUUAUUCGUAACCCUAAUUUAUAGUCCAAGCAUCCACGGUUACCGAGAUUACGGAGGUUGGGAAAUUGGUGUGGGCGUAGUGGUGGAAGAUGACGAUGAAUCAUUGUUUUCAUACAUUCUAUAUAAUAAACUACAUUAAAUAGUGGCGUAUUAUACACUCAAGACUUCUACUUCAACGAUUUGAAUUAUUAGUAUUUUUUUCUUGCCAGAAAGAUAAUCCAGAUAUAUCAAGUGGGUUGGUUUAAAUAAGUUUGGGGUGGCGUUUGAGCUUGCAAGAUUCGGAUUCGGGUCGCUUUUGAUGUGGGUUUUUUGAGAUCUGAAGAAGAAGAAACCUGCAACUUCAAUGGAACCUCCAAGAGGGUUUUGGAAAUCUGUAGGGCAGUUCUUUCUUUUCUUGCCUUAUUUUGUUGGUCUUCUGCUUCUUGGCUUCAUUAAAGGAAUCAUUUUUGCUCCAAUUAUAUGUGUUAUUAUGACAAUUGGGAACUCUGCUGUUGUAAUUGCCCUUUGGCCAGCACAUGUUGUAUGGUCUUACUUUUGUAUAUUGAGUGCUAAACGAUUAGGGCCCGUGAUGAAAGUGGUUGUAUGCCUGUUGUUUACGCCAGCCUUAGCUUCUUGGCCUGUUGCAGUUGUUGUGGGUAGCAUUCUUGGUGGCUUAGCUUAUGGUUUCCUCGGGCCGAUGUUUGGGACUUUUAAACCGUCGAAGAAGGGAAAACCGAUCAGUUUAUCCAUUGUAUUAUAGAUGGAACUUGGGACACUGUCCAAUGGAGCUGUACAUUUGUCCGUGACUUAAAAAGACGUGUGCUUAUAUUCAUACUUACCACUUACCAGUGAUGAAGGAGCUCAAAGAAGGCCAGCCAGAGGGUAAACUCGAGAUUAGGGUAGUUUAUCUUCCUAUGGCCUUUUUUCUGGGGUUACUCGGACUACUGGUUGACUUUCCGGUGAUCACAUUGAUAGCCAUACUGAAAAGUCCAUACAUGUUGUUCAAAGGGUGACACCGUCUGUUUCAAGAUUGCGUGCGUCGAGAAGGCCCAUUCUUGGCGACCAUUUGCGUCCUGUUUGCAGGUCUAGCCAUCUUGCUAUGGCCAUUGGCUGUAGCUGGUAUAUAUCAAUUUGCAUCGCAUGAUUGCCAGUAUAGUGUUUUGGUUUUAUAAUUUAGCCACUAUAGUUUUGGUCUUUCAUAGUUACACACACAUUAAUCAGAGAAAGAGAGAGAGAGCCGGAAAGAAUGAGCAGUCGUGAAAGAGAAGGGAUCCGUCGAGGCUCCGGUAACUUAUCCGGCCCGUGCUACAGGUCAAUAGAAGGAGCAUAUCACUUCAUCCGACGAACUGAUCAAAUUGGGGUGGUUCUUCUCAAUCUGAGCUAUCGAACGACGGUGAAGGGUUUGAAGAUAGCGGUUAGACGAUAGAGAAAUGGAGACUGGAGAGUUCGAGAUGGAGUCGGCCAUGGCCUCCGGCUGGCCGCCUCGCUACCGUCGCACAUGCAGGAUGGCGGUGGUCGUGUUGUUGGGCUCUGAUAAGUCAAGAUAGUCACGACCUCCCUCCGACGACAGAGCUGAAUCUUUGUGGUGGGCAAUAGCGGACACACCGACAACUGUCGACGAUGGUUGACGCGUUACAACGACACAAACCCUCGCUGCCAUCUCCGGCAGCGUCGGCGUGGUUUCUAGGUGCCACUUGCAGCGUUGGCUAGGGUUCGAAUAGGUGUGCGGCUUCUGUUUGUUUACAUUUCUAAUAUUACUUAAUUCUAACAAAUAGCAUAUCAAAAGUGGUUUCACAAUUGAUUCAAUGUUGUCAUCUAAAUUAUAUUCAGAAACGGAUAUGUACGAUUUAGUGUUGAAUUUCUUAAUAACAACAAUCAAUUAAAAAACGAAGUUACAAAUGGCUUCAAUACAAUGGUGGAUUUGGAAGUUAUUAAUAAUAGCAAAAAGAGGUAGAUUGAAAGGUUAUAUAUCUGAUGUAUGCAGCAUGAGAAUUCGGGGAAGACGAUGUUGGAACAGGGGCAGCGAACACCUUUGGGAGUAACCAAGGCUCAUAGAAUACUAACUGUAACCCCAAAGUUUAGGGGAAGAAUCAAGUUCUACUCAACUUAAUGUAAGUUCUUCAAGAUUGAUUUACCAUCAGAAAUGGAUUAAAUCAUCUUAUCUCUUAAUCGAUUGUAUUAUUAUAAUAAGUGUUAAGAACUCAUUUA